ensembl:lncRNA novel transcript
CUCAUUGGUGGAAGGAACUUGCCUUGUCUCAGCUGUCAUGUAAGACAUGCUGCCUUGCUUCCCCUUCACCUUCCACCAUGAUUCUAAGUUUCCUGAGGUCUCUCCAGCCAUGCAGAACUUUUCAAACCCCUGGAAUCAUCUGAUUGGUUCGCUUAAAAGUCCACCUUCGUCCAAUUGGUUUUCUCAAAGAGGACAGAUUUGCACAUGGCAAACGUGACUCAUGAACAAAUUCUCUAUGUGUCCCCAUGAAUGAAAGGCCAGUUGCUAGAGAAAGAAAAUCAUAUAUUGGGCAGAUGCCUAAAAGUUGUUACCUGAUGACUGUGAGAGAGAGGAGAAGCAGUAAACUUUUAGUGGAAAAUGAAUAAAUAAAAGGACAUCAGGACGAGAUGCAAAGGAAAGAUGAGAAGAUGAUGACUUUGAAUCAGAAUGGCAGAGAGAUUUGAAGUCAACAAUCACAGAAGAAUCAUCCAUAAUUUAGUGGGUAAUCUCUCUACUCUUGGUCUCAAGUGGACAUUGAGUAAGUAUUACCAGAUACAUAUAUGUUUCAGAUGUGUAGAUUUAUAGUAUAUACUUGCAUCAGGAUUAGGCAGUAUGAGAUUCAACCUAUGAAUAUUUUCCCACUUCUGUUACUUCUUCUACAUUUAUAAAUCAAGAGUAACACAAAAAUUCAUUUCAUAAUACAUUAUUUUGAUAUUCUUUCAUCAUUUGAAUGAAAAGCAGCUUAUAUUUAAAAGGGAGAGAAGAAAAAAAACCAACUAACCUUGAGUUUCUGCUGAAGUAGCUGAGGAUCCAAGAUGCUCUAGGCUGCAAGCUGAAGUUUGAAGAAAAUUCAGCCUGCUGACUUUUAUCCUCUCUUUUGGACAAGAUGACUGUGGGCAAUUUGGGCCUCUGGCUAUGAAACAUGAACCUGUCUAUCCGCGUUAUUAAUGGAUACUUGAUGGGAUGAGCUAACAAUGACUUUGGUUUCUUUGAAAAAAGGAAAUUUCUUGAGAUAGGAAAAGCCAAAUAAAC